GCACCCAAAUCAAAUCUGUUUCUCUCCCCACGGCUCUGUCCCCGUUCUCCGCACAUGCGAGCCGUCCAAUGAUCACUUGGCUUUCCACGCGCAUCUUGGCUUUCCAAUCCCUAUCCCUAAUAACGACCUUCAUGGCGGUGAUCACUUGGCUAGUGCCGUGUGCCGAGAUUCCUCCCCGGCGGGCCGUCCAAUGAUCCUACUACCCGUUCUGGCGACCUCGUCACUCCAUUCCUCUCGAAUGCAGAGAAUCAGCAUUCAAUCCAAGGCAGUGCACCCAAGCAACAAAUAACCUACAAUGCUACUCUACCGUCCUCACAGCUGACUUUGCUGAAAUCUUCCACAAUAUCUCUUGAAUUCCUCGCUCCUCCGCUUUCGAAUAAAAGCUACGGACUGCGACAUCGAUCCCCCCUCAUCCGAUGCCGAAAUGCUACUGCUCAAGGUGCUGAUUUCGUUUGGGCCAAGACAAGCAGUCAAGUGGCGAUGUAACUGCUGAUUUGUUUCUGGCCACUCAAUUUUCAGAUGUGGCUACGGUAGUUUAAGUAUUUGUUGCUGGCCAGUCAAUUUUCAGAUGUGGCUACGAUAGUUUGUGUAAAAGUAUAGAGGGUUAAACUCGAGCAUGUGAGUUCUAGAGAUGUUGUAGAGGUGGGUUGUGCAUGGGAGUCUCCGGCCUCACUACACGGCAUGAGAACCAAAGUUGGUAUAUGCACCAAUCCCGAUGCUGUUAGCGUAGGAUUUGGUAUGAAAACCUCUUUGGGUUCAGUGCAAUUUUAACUUUGGACAAGUGAUCCUUCCUAGACUGUUGUACCUCUAUUAUGUACCUGGAGUUCUUCCUAGUUUACAUAAUUAGAAAUAAGAUUAGUAUA